rnacentral:tRNA from 1 species
GAUUAUUUAGUUUAAGCAAAAACAAAUGUUUUGAAAACAUUAAAAAAGAAGAUUUCUUAAUAAUUA